CCUCUCUCAGGAUUGCAACUGGAGAGUUUCCACUACUAUACCAGUCUCAGCUAUGGGAGGGAGAGUCAAGCAGAGGCAUACCCAUUCCAUUACUAGCAUGGGCAGUGUCUAGAGAGUGGAAGUCAAUCUGCUUCAAGU